GAUGAACGCUGGCGGCGUGCCUAAUACAUGCAAGUCGAGCGAACGGACGAGAAGCUUGCUUCUCUGAUGUUAUCGGCGGACGGGUGAGUAACACGUGGAUAACCUACCUAUAAGACUGGGAUAACUUCGGGAAACCGGAGCUAAUACCGGAUAAUAUUUUGAACCGCAUGGUUCAAAAGUGAAAGACGGUCUUGCUGUCACUUAUAGAUGGAUCCGCGCUGCAUUAGCUAGUUGGUAAGGUAACGGCUUACCAAGGCAACGAUGCAUAGCCGACCUGAGAGGGUGAUCGGCCACACUGGAACUGAGACACGGUCAAGACUCCUACGGGAGGCAGCAGUAGGGAAUCUUCCGCAAUGGGCGAAAGCCUGACGGAGCAACGCCGCGUGAGUGAUGAAGGUCCUCGGAUCGUAAAACUCUGUUAUUAGGGAAGAACAUAUGUGUAAGUAACUGUGCACAUCUUGACGGUACCUAAUCAGAAAGCCACGGCUAACUACGUG
rnacentral:rRNA from 1 species